UACGAAGGGGGGCUAGCGUUGCUCGGAAUGACUGGGCGUAAAGGGCGCGUAGGCGGAUUGCUUUGUCGGGCGUGAAAUUCCAGGGCUUAACCUUGGGGCUGCGUUCGAGACGGGUGAUCUUGAGUUCGGAAGAGGGUCGUGGAAUUCCCAGUGUAGAGGUGAAAUUCGUAGAUAUUGGGAAGAACACCGGUGGCGAAGGCGGCGACCUGGUCCGAGACUGACGCUGAGGCGCGGAAAGCGUGGGGAGCAAAACAGG
rnacentral:rRNA from 1 species